rnacentral:tRNA from 1 species
CUCUAGUUAGUCUAGUGGCUAGGAUUCCUGGUUUUCAAACAGGCUUUCCAGGUUCAAUUCCUGAGCAGAAA